UACGGGGGGAGCAAGCGUUGUUCGGAUUUACUGGGCGUAAAGGGCGCGUAGGCGGUCAGCACAAGUCAGUUGUGAAAUCUCCGGGCUUAACUCGGAACGGUCAACUGAUACUGCGCGGCUAGAGUGCAGAAGGGGCAACUGGAAUUCUCGGUGUAGCGGUGAAAUGCGUAGAUAUCGAGAGGAACACCUGAGGUGAAGACGGGUUGCUGGACUGACACUGACGCUGAGGCGCGAAAGCCAGGGGAGCAAACGGG
rnacentral:rRNA from 1 species